rnacentral:lncRNA from 1 species
CAUCUGAUGCAAAUAUCAAGAAUAAGUCAUGUGGCAUAAGCUUUCGGACCCGAAUCGAUGGCUCUGCAGUGAUGACAGGUCUCUUCAACGGAACUGGAGAAACAAAUUGAUGGAAUAGCGGAUCCCUACUGAACUCAGGUUUCUUUAAGUAGAUGUCUCCGAUAGACCUCGAGACCUUACAAGGGGAAACCAAUGUUAUUUAGUACACAACAAUGACGGGAUUAAAAAGAUUAGAAAUGAGGUUUGAAAUAAGCUAAGCAAAGAUACAACAGAUCUCACGACAACACAACAUAUAAAAUUACACAUUUAGCAAAAUACUUAAAAGCUGAUCAUUGGCUAUUCACAACAUACGGAUACACUUUCUUUAGGUAGAUGUCUCCGAUAGACCUAGAGACCUUACAAGGGGAAACCAAUGUUAUUUAGGACACAACAAUGACGGGAUUAAAAAGCUUAAAUUAGAAAUGAGAUUUGAAAUAAGCCAAGAAAAGAUACAACAUAUCUCACGACAACACAACAUAUAAAAGUACACAGUUAGCAAAUACUUAAAAGCUGAUCAUUAGUUAUUCACAAUAUAUGGGUAGACACUUCUUGGAUGUUGUAAUCAAAGAUAUUGUUGCAGUAGUUUUGUGUUAAAUUAACAACAUAAACACUAUAAGCAGCAGUUAUUUCUUCCAGUUAAAUUUUACAAGCAUACAAGCUCAAUAGCAAGCUAACCAUACUAAAGGAGACAGCAAGUGCGGUCUAGCCUGUACAAAGAAAAACCGAAGACAUGUUACAGAAAAUAAACUUAAACAAAGCAGUCUCCUUAGGAUCAAAAGCUUAGAGCAAUAGCUUUUGAAGGGUUUUGCUCUGCAUGUUUGCUUUUGAGAGAAAAAUAUAUAUAAAAUAAAAAGUGACCUUAAAGAUAAUAGUUACUAAUAUUAUCCACUUUCAGCAGAUAAAAAUGUAAAUCAUGAGACCAGUAUCAAGGAAUAUAGUGUCACAUGCAAAGCUUAGGAUUCGUGAUGCAAAACCUUCUGUUGAUUCAGCAAAAGGUAAACUGACAAGAAUGACACAUUCAAAAUCAGGGAAGGGAAUGAAAGUUCCACCACUGAUAGCAAUCCGCUAUGCGAAUUUUCAGCCGUUGCAUGUGAAAUCCAAUUCACGGUGGUUCUGUCUAAACGAUAGCAAAUGAAAUCAACGCUGACAUUAUAAACCAUAUAAACUGAAACUAAUAAAGAAGUUAAAUGGAUUUUCUCUAAUGUACUCCUGAAAGUAUGCAUUUUCUCUAAUGUCUACCAUAAGGAACCUGUGCAUCUGCAUGAGUCCAUUUCACGUUUUAUAGAAAUACGCAUGAUACAGCUCACAUUAGGAAGUUUCUACUUUGAAUGGACAUGUUUGAAGUGUUUUAUCCCCUCAGUCACCUCCCAAGAUGUAUAAGAUGAGAUCACAAAAGACCUGACAUAAAUAAAAUCCUUUACAUAGGAAACUUACAAAUUCACACAAAAGAAGAGCUUCACAUGCAGAAGUAUUAUCGAUCCAGCCAUAAAUCAAAGAUGAAAAUGGAAAAUAAACCACAGGAGAGGACUUUUGUGUUGAAGGUAGUUCCAAAACAUUAGAGGAUAAAUGUCCCAUGGAGAUUUACAUUCUGAAAAUAGCUUAUUUAGGUAAGAAACCAUCCUUAAAUGGAGAAUAAGAGCAAACAGUUCAGAUGAAGACCAUUACAAAAUGAGAAAAACCAGCAAAAAUUCAAAUAAAUUGCUGGUACAAACGUCUCGAAACUCAGAUCACUUCCAUGAGACUAUCAUUUUGGCAUCUGGACAAUUAUCUAGGCACCACCAAGUCGCUACAAAACCUAAUAGUAGUCUGCCUUAUGGUAUUAUAAUUCAUUACGGAAGUUAGAAGUAAAUUAAAAAUUACUUGAUGCACAAGACCAAAGGUUGCAAAAAAACCAGCACAAUUACUUGAAGUCAUCACUCAUCCAUGGACAUGAAUGAAUCUCCAUGGCUAUAAGCAAACGAUCGGCAUUUUGAGAUUCAUGUACCAGUCAAUUCUAUUUCAUUACGCAUGGAGAGCUCACAUGAAUGACCCUAGGAAACUAAUCAAUCAGCCAAUAUUCACAAAUGAUGCCAAGCUCAAAUGAUCGCUUAGACGAAAUAGCUCUUCAUCAAAUGUCAACUGUCGUCCCAUAUGUCAAGGCCACUUGAAUAUUGAGGACAAGAAAGUAUGAAUCAAAAGACGGAUAUCAUCAGGACAAAAAUACAAAUUUUGUAUACUUCUCUAGUGCAUUGAGGUAACGGUGAAUCUCUACUAUAUGGAAUAAAGUAGCUAUUUGUUAAAGAGUAAUUUUAUAGUGUUUACUGAUUCAGAUGACAUGAUUAAGAGGUGUAGCAAAAUUCUAAAGAGAGGAAUUGACGAACCACAUACUAAAGAGAAAGGAACAAGAAUAUGAAAUCAAUCAAUUUAGAGAACACUAGGGAUGCUUCUCGUGAAUCAAACUAAUAUCAACCAUCUAAUCCUUCACACCAAUGUGCUCUGUGCAAUCAAGGCAAUUUCCUCACCUG